AGUCAUUCUUUACCACUGCAGUCUGAAAACUGGGAGUCUACUGGAGUCUUCUUGAAAUUAUUCUGCUGGAUUUGGCCGUCAGAGUGUUUUUCUGGAGCCCCGGCUGGAGGACAGUGGCUACCAGGAGCAUGUUUUUCUCAUGAUGGAGUUCGGCAUCUUCUAGGCUGGUAGCUGAAUAUUUGUUGAAGAAAUACAUCUGGGGACAAGGACCCUUUCUUGAAUCUCAUAAAUCACACAUGCCUUUUCCU